GACGAACGCUGGCGGCGUGCCUAACACAUGCAAGUAGAACGCUGAAGGAGGAGCUUGCUUCUCUGGAUGAGUUGCGAACGGGUGAGUAGCGCGUAGGUAACCUGCCUGGUAGCGGGGGAUAACUAUUGGAAACGAUAGCUAAUACCGCAUAAUCGCAGUUGUUGCAUGACAACUGUUUGAAAGGUGCAAAUGCAUCACUACCAGAUGGACCUGCGUUGUAUUAGCUUGUUGGUGGGGUAAAGGCUCACCAAGGCGACGAUACAUAGCCGACCGGAGAGGGUGAGCGGCCACACUGAGACUGAGACACGGCCCAGACUCCUACGGGAGGCAGCAGUAGUGAAUCUUCGGGAAGGGACGGAAGUCUGACCGAGCAACGCCGCGUGAGUGAAGAAGGUUGUCGGGUCGGGAAGCUCUGUUUUAAGGGAGGAACGAGUGUGAGAGUGGGAAGUUCACACUGUGACGGUAACUUACCAAAAAGGGACGGCUAACUACGUG
rnacentral:rRNA from 1 species